GCAGGCUUAACACAUGCAAGUCGAACGGUAACAGGGAUUAGCUUGCUAAUUUGCUGACGAGUGGCGGACGGGUGAGUAAUGCUUGGGAAUCUAGCUUAUGGAGGGGGAUAACCACGGGAAACUGUAGCUAAUACCCGCGUUAAAAUCUUCGGAUUAAAGGGUGGGACUUUCGGGCCACCUGCCAUAAGAUGAGCCCAAGUGGGAUUAGGUAGUUGGUUAGGUAAAGGCUGACCAAGCCGACGAUCUCUAGCUGGUCUGAGAGGAUGACCAGCCACACUGGAACUGAGACACGGUCCAGACUCCUACGGGAGGCAGCAGUGGGGAAUAUUGCACAAUGGGGGGAACCCUGAUGCAGCCAUGCCGCGUGAAUGAAGAAGGCCUUCGGGUUGUAAAGUUCUUUCGGUGACGAGGAAGGUUGAUAGGUUAAUAGCCUAUCAAAUUGACGUUAAUCACAGAAGAAGCACCGGCUAACUCCGUGCCAGCAGCCGCGGUAAUACGGGGGGUGCGAGCGUUAAUCGGAAUAACUGGGCGUAAAGGGCACGCAGGCGGUGACUUAAGUGAGAUGUGAAAGCCCCGGGCUUAACCUGGGAAUUGCAUUUCAUACUGGGUCGCUAGAGUACUUUAGGGAGGGGUAGAAUUCCACGUGUAGCGGUGAAAUGCGUAGAGAUGUGGAGGAAUACCGAAGGCGAAGGCAGCCCCUUGGGAAUGUACUGACGCUCAUGUGCGAAAGCGUGGGGAGCAAACAGGAUU
rnacentral:rRNA from 1 species